GUGAAUCAUCGAAUUUUUGAACGCAAAUUGCACUCUCUUCGGAGAGUAUGCCUGUUUGAGGGUCAGCCUAAAAAAAAUCGACAAGGUUUCUGUUACGCGUUACCUUUCGUCGGAAUUUGGUUCAUUUUAACCCUUUUGGUUUAAGGGGCUGAAAAUUUUUUUUACAUUUCCAGGACCGUUUUUAGGAUUUUUUUUUCUUAUACUUUUAAGGU
rnacentral:misc_RNA from 1 species